rnacentral:misc_RNA from 1 species
GGAGUAAAAGUCGUAACAAGGUUUCCGUAGGUGAACCUGCGGAAGGAUCAUUAUUGUAUAACCGAGGUGCGAGGGCUGUCGCUGACCCGAAAGGUCGUGCACGCCCGAGUGCCCUCACACACAUCCAUCUCACCCCUAUGUGCACCACCGCGUGGGUCCCCCUUUGGCUUGUUCGGAGGGGGGCUUACGUUUUCACACAAACUUUGUAUGCAGUGUAGAAUGUAUUUUUUGUUUUUGCGAUCACGCAAUCAAUACAACUUUCAACAACGGAUCUCUAGGCUCUC